GCGACCUCAUCUCAGGCGGGGCU
rnacentral:rRNA from 1 species